UGGUUUUAGAACCAAAGUGACACUAACUUCAUGAUAAGUCUAUGAAUUACAUUUGUAAUUAGACCUGUAGAUGCCUUGACAGUUUGGUAGGACUUGCUGUUAGAAGAAUCUGAAGGUUUCUGUUGUGUAAACUGUCCCUAUUGACACAUUUUCCUUAGGGCUAUGAGAUGUUUUGGAUUUCCUGUUAUUCUGAUGACAUGUUUUGUAGUUACUGCAUUGCACAUGGUAGGCAGUUCUGGAGUGCUGUUGCGCACGUGCUCUCUGUUGUCUAAGACCCUGAGCGUCUGUGGUGUGUCCUUCUUGUGUUUCCAGCGCGGCUGACUGCACCCUCUCCUCUAUUCUGGCCCCUCUUUCUGGAGAUCAUCUGUUUUACGAGGCAGGGCGAGGGCCAGCACGUGGCUCUGUUGACCUCGGCUCCUGUUGCCUCACUUCCUGUUUCAUGAGCGUCUC
rnacentral:lncRNA from 1 species